rnacentral:lncRNA from 10 species
CUGAAGUCAAUCAAAGGAGUAGUAGCAAUAAAGAGGAAGAUGCCCGGACAUGAGUGACUCUCCCUUCUCUGGUUCUCCUCAUGCGAAUCCAAUUAGGUGCCAAGAUCUUCAGAUUUUACCUUCAUCAAGUUUUCCACAUUCACUCUGCAUUUUCGCUGCACCCACUGGUUGUAGCCAUAUCUGGCUUAGGCUGGCAACACUUUUGAAGCAAGGAUGAUGCUUUCUUUCUUUUGCCCAAGACCAUUCUUCAUAUAAUAAGACAAUUAACAGAUUGUGGGUUUGAUUUAUAUGUAUGGUGAACUAACACUGGAAUGUAUCUGAAAGAUU